rnacentral:tRNA from 1 species
GGGGUUGUGGUCUAGUGGUAUGACAUCUUCUUAGCAUUACUCUUCGAGUAUUACUGAGUGGAGAAGGUUCUGGGUUCGAUUCCCAGCUACUCCA